UCUUUGGUCUCUUGAGGAAUACAGCCCGAAUUUUUGCCCAUCUCUGAAGCGACUGUCCCAUGAUAUAUUCAAUGGCAUCUUACAACUGCAGUUAGCAGAAGAGCAGUCAUGCCUCCCAAGUGCUGGGAUUAUAGGCAUGGACCACCACACCUGGCUGCUAUGGACAUCUUGUUCUCUCUGCCCUGGUAGGGCUGCCUAAAGGCCUUCGGAAUUCCGUAACAAAUUAUGGAAUUUUCAGUAAUAAAUAAUUGGAUUACUUUCUAGAAAAGAAGCAUAUACAAAGUCCACUAACUACAUUUUAAAAACAGUAUCAUCUCCCAACGAGAACAGAAAAACUGCAAAGCAGUUACUAGGACAGGUAUUCAAGGAUAUGACCGAGGAUAGUACUGAGGAAGUUCAACGAAUGAAUAAAGCAGAAGUGUGGUUUUCCAGUUCCGAAUCAAAAAGUGACAAUCCAAUGUGUGCUUCCUGCCUUCUCAACUGCAACCAUCAAGCUUCAAGCAGGAGAAACUAUUCUGCUCAUUUGUUCCUUUAACACUUACUAAUCUAUGAAUACUCUAUAAAGCAGUACGGGAAUAGUAUAUUACAUCGGGUUGGUAUUGUCUGGAAUGCAGAAGUGAAUAAAAGAACAGCCUGAAUGA